AGUGAACGCUGGCGGUAGGCCUAACACAUGCAAGUCGAACGGCAGCACAGUAAGAGCUUGCUCUUACGGGUGGCGAGUGGCGGACGGGUGAGGAAUACAUCGGAAUCUACUUUUUCGUGGGGGAUAACGUAGGGAAACUUACGCUAAUACCGCAUACGACCUACGGGUGAAAGCAGGGGAUCUUCGGACCUUGCGCGAUUGAAUGAGCCGAUGUCGGAUUAGCUAGUUGGCGGGGUAAAGGCCCACCAAGGCGACGAUCCGUAGCUGGUCUGAGAGGAUGAUCAGCCACACUGGAACUGAGGCACGGUCCAGACUCCUACGGGAGGCAGCAGUGGGGAAUCUUGGACAAUGGGCGCAAGCCUGAUCCAGCCAUACCGCGUGGGUGAAGAAGGCCUUCGGGUUGUAAAGCCCUUUUGUUGGGAAAGAAAAGCAGCAGGUUAAUACCCCGCUGUUCUGACGGUACCCAAAGAAUAAGCACCGGCUAACUUCGUG
rnacentral:rRNA from 1 species